UACGUAGGUGACCAGCGUUGUCCGGAUUUACUGGGCGUAAAGAGCGCGCAGGCGGUCGUUCAAGUCGAGUGUGAAAGCCCCCGGCUCAACUGGGGAGGGUCAUUCGAUACUGAUCGACUCGAAGGCAGGAGAGGGAAGUGGAAUUCCCGGUGUAGUGGUGAAAUGCGUAGAUAUUGGGAGGAACACCAGUGGCGAAGGCGACUUCCUGGCCUGUUCUUGACGCUGAGGCGCGAAAGCUAGGGGAGCAAACGGG
rnacentral:rRNA from 1 species